GACGUAGGGGGCCAGCGUUGUUCGGAAUUACUGGGUGUAAAGGGUUCGUAGGCGGUGCGGCAAGUUGGGAGUGAAAUCUCUGGGCUUAACCCAGAGGCUGCUUCCAAAACUGCUGUGCUUGAGUGUGGGAGAGGCGCGUGGAAUUGCAGGUGUAGCGGUGAAAUGCGUAGAUAUCUGCAGGAACACCCGUGGCGAAAGCGGCGCGCUGGACCACUACUGACGCUGAGGAACGAAAGCUAGGGGAGCAAACAGGAUUAGAACCAGUACCG
rnacentral:rRNA from 1 species